UUCGAUCUUGCGCACGCGGAUCACUCACGUGGCUCCCUUCCGCGUGGCCUCCUGCGUCAGCGUCUUUGCCACCUGGUGCGUCCUGGUUGGCCAGAGCUGCUGACCGGGCAGCUAACGUGGCACAAUUUUUCUAAUUUGUGUUUUGGCCUCCAAUUUUCGCUUUUUCUUUCAAAAAUACUCACAUAACCCAAAUUUUCACUUUUUUUCCUUAAAAUUUUUUUCAAU
rnacentral:lncRNA from 1 species